GCUGCAUCGUUGUWGUUGAYGAUCAUCAUCCCUUGGUUAAUGUGGUGUCAUGUCGCUUGUGAAUCCUAGGUUUUAGCUUUUCAAGCUUGAAACGUCUGGAGAUAAUCGGGUGGUCAUAGACAUCACGUACACCCUUGGUUGAUGAAAGUCAUUCAAUGAUGUGGUGGUCUGUUUAUCCUGAUCUCGCAUCGUUCGGUGCAUUCUGUGUUCAUCUGGGCUAUUAGCGGCUUGCUUGGCGAUUAGGCUUGGUGGGUUGUUAAUAGUUUGGGUGUCUACGGGGAUGUCUACCGUAAAGGUGCAUGAGUGGUGUUUGGUUUGUUACGGGUGGUUGGCUCUUUGCUUGCGCAACAACUUCCACCUGGCAUACCUCUUCAGUCUUGUGUCAACGCUUGUAUCGCAUUGAAUGCAUGACGGGUUUCUUGUGUUGCUUGCCUAAUUAAYGGUAUCGUUUGAUGAAUUGGUUACCUUUUUCAUCUCGCCUCGCUUAUGCGAUGUGAGAUGAACCUUGAAGCAGUCUUUGUGAUCCACACUUUCGAUGCAUACGCAUUGAUUUUGUGGCCCAUUAAGCGUUGCUUGGUCUCAUGGAUAUGGAACCUGGUGUGGGCAUGGAAUCUUAAUGGUUCCUUGUUUGCCCAAGUUUAGCUUUUCUAAAACGAUCGUCUAUCA
rnacentral:misc_RNA from 1 species